GGUAUUUCCCCAAGCUAGCCUAUAGAUGGCGCUGCAUUUUGUUAGUUAAACCACAUGGCCAAAUAUCAACCGCCAUUUUGUUCGCUAAGGAGACAGUGAUUUGUGAGAUGGUAUGUUGGGAGAGACGUCUACAGAUCAGACCAUCUAGAACAGGACACAACACCCUGCUUACAUUUGAAGGAGGGCUAGGACACACAAGAGACCUGUAGGCCCACUAUGCUG